CGUACACUCCUACGGGAGGCAGCAGUGGGGAAUUUUAGACAAUGGGCGAAAGCCUGAUCCAGCCAUGCCGCGUGCAGGAUGAAGGCCUUCGGGUUGUAAACUGCUUUUGUACGGAACGAAACGGCCUUUUCUAAUAAAGAGGGCUAAUGACGGUACCGUAAGAAUAAGCACCGGCUAACUACGUGCCAGCAGCCGCGGUAAUACGUAGGGUGUAAGCGUUAAUCGGAAUUACUGGGCGUAAAGCGUGCGCAGGCGGUUAUGUAAGACAGUUGUGAAAUCCCCGGGCUCAACCUGGGAACUGCAUCUGUGACUGCAUAGCUAGAGUACGGUAGAGGGGGAUGGAAUUCCGCGUGUAGCAGUGAAAUGCGUAGAUAUGCGGAGGAACACCGAUGGCGAAGGCAAUCCCCUGGACCUGUACUGACGCUCAUGCACGAAAGCGUGGGGAGCAAACAGGAUUAGAAACCCCGGUAGUCCCAUGAU
rnacentral:rRNA from 1 species